UAUGGCCAUGACACAUUGAAACGCCGGUUCUCAUAUGAUCACUGAAAAGCAAUAUUGAGCCUGGUCAAUACCCAGAUGGGUGACUGCUUGUGAAUACUAGGUGCUGUAA